CACACUGCGAAUUUCGAGUGGUAUCGACAAUUUCGGAACAGUACAGGUUCAUCUGGUCCUCUGCAUCCUUGUCUCGUGGGUUCUUGCAUUUCUGUGUAUGGUUAAAGGUGUGAAGUCUGUUGGAAAGGUUGUGUACGUGACUGACCUCCUUCCCUACGUUCUCCUGACGGUUUUGCUGGUCAGGUCGUGCAUGAUGCCGGGUGCGGGGGACGGUAUACUGUAUUUCCUUAGUCCAGACUUCUCUCGGCUUGGAAAUGUACAGGUUUGGCUGGAAGCUUUGCUACAAGGUUUUUUUUCCAUGAGUACAACAGCCGGAGGCCUCAUCACCAUGAGCAGCUACA